AACGAACGCUGGCGGCAUGCCUAACACAUGCAAGUCGAACGAGACCUUCGGGUCUAGUGGCGCACGGGUGCGUAACGCGUGGGAACCUGCCCUUAGGUUCGGAAUAACUCCCCGAAAGGGGUGCUAAUACCGGAUAAUGUCUUCGGACCAAAGAUUUAUCGCCUUUGGUUGGGCCCGCGUUGGAUUAGCUAGUUGGUAGGGUAAAAGCCUACCAAGGCGACGAUCCAUAGCUGGUCUGAGAGGAUGAUCAGCGACACUGGGACUGAGACACGGCCCAGACUCCUACGGGAGGGAGGAGUGGGGAAUAGUGGACAGUGGGGGAAGGGCUGAUCCAGCAAUGCCGCGUGAGUGAUGAAGGCCUUAGGGUUGUAAAGCGCUUUUACCCGGGAUGAUAAUGACAGUACCGGGAGAAUAAGCUCCGGCUAACUACGUG
rnacentral:rRNA from 1 species